rnacentral:rRNA from 1 species
AUUGAACGCUGGCGGCAGGCUUAACACAUGCAAGUCGAGCGGGGUGAUGGUGCUUGCACUAUCACUUAGCGGCGGACGGGUGAGUAAUGCUUAGGAAUCUGCCUAUUAGUGGGGGACGACAUCUCGAAAGGGAUGCUAAUACCGCAUACGUCCUACGGGAGAAAGCAGGGGAUCACUUGUGACCUUGAGCUAAUAGAUGAGCCUAAGUCGGAUUAGCUAGUUGGUGGGGUAAAGGCCUACCAAGGCGACGAUCUGUAGCGGGUCUGAGAGGAUGAUCCGCCACACUGGGACUGAGACACGGCCCAGACUCCUACGGGAGGCAGCAGUGGGGAAUAUUGGACAAUGGGGGGAACCCUGAUCCAGCCAUGCCGCGUGUGUGAAAAAGGCCUUAUGGUUGUAAAGCACUUUAAGCGAGGAGGAGGCUCUUUUGGUUAAUACCCAAGAUGAGUGGACGUUACUCGCAGAAUAAGCACCGGCUAACUCUGUGCCAGCAGCCGCGGUAA